AGAGAAGUGCUCAAAUCACCACAGCUGGUACUGUUUAGAUGCCUUACUAGUAACCUCAUGGAAGCCAAGGCUAUGUCACACCUGAAAGAAAAGGCUGUGGGGAAAGAAAUAAUUCUGAGUCAGCUUAACAGUCUUCCUCCUGAAGAGAAGGUAGAAUAAGUGUGGCCUUCACAAAGUAGGCUGAAAUCACUUUCUGGAGUGUCCUGCAGAUGUGAUGACUUUAUGCUGAAGAACUGUUGAUGGUGUGACCAUGGGUCUGGAGUGGAGCUGUGCAGAGAUAUCUGCAGAUCUGGAGAGAAACUGUGUUGAUAACACACCCGUGUUUUUGCUGUUGCUGACCAGUGCUGCACAGAGCUGAAGAUAUCUCAGCUUUUCAGCUUCUUGUGCUGUCCCAGCAACUGAAUAAUUUUUCCUUUCAAGAAAAAGUCUCAAAAUUUGUUGAAGUCUUAGCUACAUAGGCAGCUAAAAAGCAACAAAUUUUGUUUUCAUUGCUGCAGCAAAGAAAGAACCAAAGACCCAUAUGGAUUAUGAGCAGAAGGCAUUAUGUUGUAUUGAAUUGUGUUUUGGUGUGGAAGAUGAAGAGAAAAACAUCAACUUUCUGCCCUCUCAUAUUCACAAGGAGAUGCAAACUAAGCACUGUGGCAAGCAAAUCCUUCCAGGAUGAUCUGACAGAGCUGAAGAAGUUAUUGUUCAUCAGUACUGGAUCUUUCUUUAGCUACCACCUGCAACCUGAGCUGACAGAAGGGACCAGAUCCAGGGUUUUAUUUCCUUAACCUCAGUGUGGUGUUGUAGCACACAUCAUUUAUUUCAGAAUGCAUUUCCCCCUUCUAACAACUGGUGCUCUGUUUUGGAAGCAAAGGGAGUAACUCCACACAGAGCUAGCAGACUGCAGUUGCUCCAUUUGUAUUAAGUUAAGCUUGUGGUCCUGUUAUUCCCUCUUCACUCUCAAGAUGCACAUUAUAAAGUUAGACCAGGAAGAAAACAGCACUUCCCACUUCUGUUUAGCCAUCUCCUCAAAUCUUGUUGUAUGGACUGUUUCAAUAAGGAUCCCCAGGGGCCUCCUCCCUUCUAGUGCAGUCUGUGGAGUUAAACCAAUAUGUGCGUUGGAGCCAAGACUGUUAUGCUACUGUAAUUGUCAAAUUUGAAAUCAAUGCCUUUUUUCCCUCAUGAGCUCUUCUUUUCUCAAUAAACAAGAAUUUGGCUGCAAAAAAAAAAGGCUCUGCAUAGAGACCAUUUCAUAACAGUCUCUUAUGUGAAAUGAGGCUUUGAUUUUCCUAAAUGGGCCACUGAACUUUCCUCUCAGGAAAGCAAACCCUACAUUUAACCACAAGAAGAGGCAUUUCCAGUGCUCUUUCAUAUCAGCAUAGCAUCAGUUUUAAGUAAUUUAAUGUAACUUGCUGUGUUCUCCAAUGUGAUAGGAUUUGCACCAUUUUUUUUGUUAGACUGCGAUGUUUUCUGGGAUGAGUAGAACAAUUGUGUCAGGCUGAGGUCACUCAUACUAGAGAGAAUUGCUUGAAUUUAGCAGUAUAUGGCUGAAGGGGCAUUAAUCUUAAUCAUCUUCCAAUUGAUAGAAGGUGGUAUCAAUUCUUGGCACUUCCAUUCUUCCAUGAAAGUGGGAACAAAGCUAGGGACCAUUUUGGUUCUCCUUUUGUCUCUGUACUCUAACAGAGUGAAAUGGUCACCAGGGCUCUUUAAAAAUUUUGCUAUGCCUCUGAGAUAUUGAAAUCAUCUCUCUGCACAUAAUUCUAAACUGACACGCAGUUACUUGGCUCUGACUUCAUGUAUGGCCACAACACAAUCAUGUUAUGCCAUCUUAUGGCUGGAUGAGACCAGAUCAGUUCUUGUAUGCAUUGCUUUCCUUCUGGCUUUAGAGAUUAAUAAUAACGCAUGCAUUACAACUCAUCUCAGUGAAGUAAUUAUGUGUAAUUGCAUAAUUACCCGUUGCAGUUGUUUGACUUACUGGCAUUUGUACUAAUUAAACUAAUGGUAUGCAAAACUACAAAUUAAUUUAAAAUAAGAAAAGCACUGAGCACCGCCUCUUGAGGGUGUGUAUAUGCAGACAGUGGUACCAUGUUUGAACAGAAAUGUUGAUCCUACAUCUUUUAUUGAACAUAUCACAUAGUUUUCUUUUAUCAGGUAAAAGGAUACAGCAUUAAAUAAUAAACUAUGUAAUAAUCCUAAACAAAACAAGAUCUGAGGCUCUGGAAUUAAACCCUCUUGCUCAAGAACACUUUCUAUGCUCUGAUUAGUCAGAGGUACAAUUUCUCGCAGGUGAGUAAUCUUACACUUAUUUAUUACAAAUAUUUCUCAGUGGUGGCCAAAGCUAAACUUAAAAUGUGUCAACAAGGAGUAAGAUAAAUUUAUGUUCCUCUAGAUUAAAAUUCAGUGUUUGAGUUUUGUGCCCAGUCUACAAUUCUGACAUGCAAAUAACUUCACGAGAUCGACUCUUUUUGCUUAUGCAGUGAACUCCCAAAUCAGACUGACAGGAAUAAAAUUUGAAAUGUGAAUUUAAAUAAAGAAAACAGAAGGAUUAGCAUAAUGAAUAGCAAACAGAAUGCUGUCUUUAAAUCUGUUUCUGGAGACGUUCAUAAUCCUACAGUUGCUUUCCUGAGGAGAAUGUACUGCUUAGUUUGGACAUAGAAAAGCACAAUUUGUGCACUUACCUCCUUCAUUUGAAAUUUGUCCUAUACAAUUCUUCAAAGAAUAAAUGUCAAAAAUCACUCUUGCUGACUGCAUUCUGUUUUCUCCCUCAACGUUUGCAUGCUACUUAAUUUUAUGACUAUAAUAAGG
ensembl:lncRNA